rnacentral:pre_miRNA from 3 species
UUCCCUUUGUCAUCCUAUGCCUAGAGUUUGUGAUAAGGCAGGGACAGCAAAGGGAGGC